CUCCUCCCCUCUCCUCCCCCUCUCCCUCUUCGCUCUGGUUUUUUGUUUGAUAAUGUCCCUGGCACCUGGACACAAACUGCUGUUUCAAUCAGCAGCCCGGGGAGAACAUGAGGACAGGAACAUGUCACAUGUGACUGCUGCCAGCCGCGGACCCUGCCACUGCCAUUUAGCACCAGCACUCUCUUUACUUCACUUUCCCGGACCCGAGGGUCAGCGCCAAGGGAGGCGCUAUCUGGAAACUUGUCUUUCGGGGAGACGGGGACAAAAACACCCUGAAGUGAAGGAGCUGUCUCCCGCUCUCCUCCGAGGAAAUGUUGUUAUUUGGCUCCAUUUUUUAAAUGGUUGCUGUGAUACACAUCGCAAGGUUGUUAUUAAUAAGCAGCAAGCUGGUUCAUUGCAAAGAUCUGUCAAAUUCUUUGGGCUCCACUGUGGACCGGCAGGACACAAAUUAACUGCCUACCCGCCACCCUGCGGCCUCGAGGAAAAUAUCGCUCAAUCAAAACCAUACAGCCGCACGUUAAAACCUACCGUACAAACCUGGACAAGUGAGAUAUCCUACCGUACUACGAACCCGGAACAGUGAGAUCCUACCUGUACCAGUGAAAUCCUACCGUACCUGGACGAAUGAAAUCCUACUGUACCUACUACCUGGACCAUUGAAAUCCUACUAAACAUACCUGGACCAGUGAGAUCGAACUGUACCUGGACCAGUGAGAUCGUACUGCACAUGGACCCGGACAUAUAAGAUCCUACUGCACAUGAACCUUGGCCUGCAAUAUAACUCCCAAUACCUCUUGUUAAAAUAAGAAUUCAAACCCCUGCAUAGUGCCUCUCCAUAUAACCCCUGCAGAGAUGGGAUGAGUUUAGCCUGCUGAAUGGUCUGUUGUGUGCUGGAAAAAACCCAGCUCUACAGUGGGACAGUCUAGGGCCAAACCCAAGAGCCAAAAGGCUCUUGGGUUUGACCCCAAGUGUGUGCAUUCUGACUGGAGGCGUGCUCGACCAAGGCACAAUAACAGGCAAUACCCGCUCAAAAACGACACGGAUUUCAUAAAAAAAAAGUCUAAACAAACGAAUACACUUCAGUGCAAGUUGCCGUGGAGACAAGCAUCAGCUGAACGACUGAAUCCUACCUGGGGGCAUCGUGGCCUUGAUGGUGUGGUCUAACCAGAGGAGCCAGACCAUGGUGGAGCCGGGCAGGGGCAUUUGUGGUCUGUCAAUAGGACCGGUGAAGUAUGGGUUCGGGCGGGCCGGUCUCGUGUACCCGUGGUGCUGCUCAGUGUGGCAAGGCACUCAGGGCACUUCAAACCCCCCCC
ensembl:lncRNA